rfam:Myotis brandtii contig294414, whole genome shotgun sequence.
CAUGUACCGGUGGGGUCCCUUGGCCUGGCCUGCGGGGAUUGGGCAGUCUGACAUUCCCUGAGGAGUCCCGGAUUGUGAGAGGGCGCAGGCCAGGCCGAGGGACCCCACCGGUGCAUG